rnacentral:rRNA from 1 species
GAUGAACGCUGGCGGCGUGCCUAAUACAUGCAAGUCGAGCGAACAGACGAGGAGCUUGCUCCUCUGACGUUAGCGGCGGACGGGUGAGUAACACGUGGAUAACCUACCUAUAAGACUGGGAUAACUUCGGGAAACCGGAGCUAAUACCGGAUAAUAUAUUGAACCGCAUGGUUCAAUAGUGAAAGACGGUUUUGCUGUCACUUAUAGAUGGAUCCGCGCCGCAUUAGCUAGUUGGUAAGGUAACGGCUUACCAAGGCGACGAUGCGUAGCCGACCUGAGAGGGUGAUCGGCCACACUGGAGCUGAGACGCGGUCCAGACUCCUACGGGAGGCAGCAGUAGGGAAUCUUCCGCAAUGGGCGAAAGCCUGACGGAGCAACGCCGCGUGAGUGAUGAAGGUCUUCGGAUCGUAAAACUCUGUUAUUAGGGAAGAACAAAUGUGUAAGUAACUAUGCACGUCUUGACGGUACCUAAUCAGAAAGCCACGGCUAACUACGG